rnacentral:rRNA from 1 species
GACGAACGCUGGCGGCGUGCUUAACACAUGCAAGUCGAACGGAAAGGCCCUGCUUUUGUGGGGUGCUCGAGUGGCGAACGGGUGAGUAACACGUGAGUAACCUGCCCUUGACUUUGGGAUAACUUCAGGAAACUGGGGCUAAUACCGGAUAGGAGCUCCUGCUGCAUGGUGGGGGUUGGAAAGUUUCGGCGGUUGGGGCUGGACUCGCGGCUUAUCAGCUUGUUGGUGGGGUAGUGGCUUACCAAGGCUUUGACGGGUAGCCGGCCUGAGAGGGUGACCGGCCACAUUGGGACUGAGAUACGGCGCAGACUCCUACGGGAGGCAGCAGUGGGGAAUAUUGCACAAUGGGCGGAAGCCUGAUGCAGCAACGCCGCGUGCGGGAUGACGGCCUUCGGGUUGUAAACCGCUUUCGCCUGUGACGAAGCGUGAGUGACGGUAAUGGGUAAAGAAGCACCGGCUAACUACGUG